rnacentral:rRNA from 1 species
GAGUUUGAUCCUGGCUCAGAACGUACGCUGGCGGCACGCCUAACACAUGCAAGUCGAACGAAGUAGCAAUACUUAGUGGCAGACGGGUGAGUAACAUGUGGGUAUCUGCCCUUUGGCCUGGAAUAACACGAGGAAACUUGUGCUAAUACCGGAUAAGUCUUUACGGAGAAAGCUUUAUGCACCAUUGGAUGAGCCCGCACUUGGUUAGUUUGUUGGUGGGGUAAUGGCCUACCAAGACUGUGAUCAAUAGCUGAUUUGAGAGGAUGAUCAGCCACAUUGGGACUGAGACACGGCCCAAACUCCUACGGGAGGCAGCAGUGGGGAAUCUUGCACAAUGGAGGAAACUCUGAUGCAGCGAUGCCGCGUGAGUGAAGAAGGCUCUAGGGUUGUAAAGCACUUUCAGUAGGGAGGAACAGCUUAAGACUAAUACUCUUGAGCCUUGACGUUACCUACAGAAGAAGCACCGGCAAACUCCGUGCCAGCAGCCGCGGUAAUACGGAGGGUGCGAGCGUUAAUCGGAAUUACUGGGCGUAAAGCGCGCGUAGGUGGUUUGAUAAGCUAGCUGUGAAAGCCCCGGGCUCAACCUGGGAACUGCAGUUAGAACUGUCUGGCUAGAGUACAGUAGAGGGUGGCGGAAUUUCCUGUGUAGCGGUGAAAU